rnacentral:lncRNA from 1 species
UUGAGGUUAAUUGAAUUUUAAUAUUUCAAUUAGGACUUGGAUUCAAAGUCUAAUUGAAUUAGGUUUGACAGAAUUUCUAAUUGGAUUCAAAUCAGAUUCGAAUUGGAUUCGAAUUGAAUCAUGGAUCAAGUCCUACUUGAUUUAAAUCAAAUUUAACUUAAUUAAGCUUGACUUAAUUUGAGAUAAAUUAAAUUUUAUAAUCCAAGUAGGA